AAAGAAAGAAAAAAAGCCAUCUCUCUUGAGCUCCACUACCCUAUCGUUUAUUCACUCGCGGCAACAACAACAACAACGAUCCAAUCUAGAGAGGGAGAUGGAGGAGGAGGAUGAGGUGGGUAAAGAGAAGGGAGGAGAUAAAGAAAGCCCUAAAAUCAACAACCAAACCCUAGAAGAAAAUCUCAAGCAGUAGAUGAACAACAAGGCAAAGUCAUGCAAGGGUUGUCUUCUCUAUUCCUCCACCCUUAACUCCAAUUCUCGCAAUCCUCUCUGCCUCGGCAUCCUUCGUUCUCUUCCCCAAGAUGGAUACUGAUUUCCAAGUGUGAUGACUAGUACCACGCCACAUUGUUGGAGAAUCUGAGGUGGACGCCUCUAGAGAAGGUAGAAGCCUUGCAGAAUUCAAAUAUGCUUGUGUUGGUUACUCUGUGUACUCAAAUGGAAAAGAUCCUACAGCAGAUGUGCAAGAAACACAAGCAGAAUUGCCGGUCUGUGUUGGCCUAGAGGUUUUGUAUGACAAAAAAGUUAAUGCUGCUGACUCUGUUCCUGCUCAUGUUCAUAGCAGAGAAGGUAAUUUAUUUAGAUUUAGAAAUGCGAAAUCAAAGGUAAGAAGCUUAGUUUAGAACAAUUAUAGUAACAAGAAGUCAUAUAUAAUUAUUUGUAGUUUUGAACAGUUUGACUUGCAAUCCGAGUUGUUAAAUCGGAAUACAAAUUGAGUAUCAUGUUUUUUCUCUAAAUCAUGUAUCGUAUCGUGUGUCUAAGAUACUUUAGCAUCUUUAAAAAUAGGUAGAAAAAUAAAUAUCCUAUAAGAACAAGACACCAAACAAUGUAUAAUAUUUAAAAUUGCAAAAGUAAUUUUAAAGAUAAAUGCAUAUACAAUGUAUUAUUCUCAAUACUUCAUGCAUAUAAUAUAAAAUAAAGAGUGGAGUUAAAACAUGUAUAAAAUACUGUCUUAACUAACCAUUUAGGUUUUAAUAUUUAAUUUACACCUUUUAAGUUCUCAAGGUACUUGUCCAUAGUAGACAACUUUGAACUUCAACCGGUGUCAGUAGGUCUAAAUCAACAACACAAUAUGCUUAAUACCAGAUCAAAUAAGUAGAUAUUUGUCAAAAAGGUAGAGAAAAAUAAAAGAUAAGUACCAAAAAUA